AUAGGUAUGCAAGUCGAGCGCCCCGCAGGGGGAGCGGCCGACGGAGUGAGUAACGCGUGGGAACGUACCCUUUUCUACGGAAUAACGCAUGGAAACGUGUGCUAAUACCGUAUGUGCCCUUCGGGGGAAAGAUUUAUCGGAAAAGGAUCGGCCCGCGUUGGAUUAGCUAGUUGGUGGGGUAAAGGCCUACCAAGGCGACGAUCCAUAGCUGGUCUGAGAGGAUGAUCAGCCACAUUGGGACUGAGACACGGCCCAAACUCCUACGGGAGGCAGCAGUGGGGAAUAUUGGACAAUGGGCGCAAGCCUGAUCCAGCCAUGCCGCGUGAGUGAUGAAGGCCUUAGGGUUGUAAAGCUCUUUCACCGGUGAAGAUAAUGACGGUAACCGGAGAAGAAGCCCCGGCUAACUUCGUGCCAGCAGCCGCGGUAAUACGAAGGGGGCUAGCGUUGUUCGGAUUUACUGGGCGUAAAGCGCACGUAGGCGGAUCGAUCAGUCAGGGGUGAAAUCCCAGAGCUCAACUCUGGAACUGCCUUUGAUACUGUCGAUCUGGAGUAUGGAAGAGGUGAGUGGAAUUCCGAGUGUAGAGGUGAGAUUCGUAGAUAUUCGGAGGAACACCAGUGGCGAAAGCGGCUCACUGGUCCAUUACUGACGCUGAGGUGCGAAAGCGUGGGGAGCAAACAGGAUUACAUACCCUGGUAGUCCACGCCGUACACGAUGAAUGUUAGCCGUCGGGCAGUAUACUGUUCGGUGGCGCAGCUAACGCAUUAAACAUUCCGCCUGGGGAGUACGGUCGCAAGAUUAAAACUCACAGGAAUUGACGGGGGCCCGCACAAGCGGUGGAGCAUGUGGUUUAAUUCGAAGCAACGCGCAGAACCUUACCAGCCCUUGACAUGUCCGGCUACUUGCAGAGAUGCAGGUUCCCUUCGGGACCGGAACACA
rnacentral:rRNA from 1 species